UACCGAAAGCGGCUGGCACCCGUCCACAACUGCCAACUCUCGGAUCCUCGGAUUCGUAGAACCCCGCGAAAGAAGUGCAUUAUGCGACGUUGGGCGAGAGGCGUCUCGCCGGUGCCCCUCCCUCCCUUCGGGGUAAGAGUGGUUCCGAAUCAAAGCGUACACCCCAUUUUCAACCCCACUAAACUCUGAAUCUGAACUUGAAAGGGAGGCUGGCCUUACGCASUCAACCAUAUAACGUUGUAAAA
rnacentral:rRNA from 2 species